GACGAACGCUGGCGGCGUGCUUAACACAUGCAAGUCGAACGCUGAAGCUCAGCUUUUGUUGGGUGGAUGAGUGGCGAACGGGUGAGUAACACGUGAGUAACCUGCCUCCUUCUUUGGGAUAACGCCCGGAAACGGGUGCUAAUACUGGAUAUUCACUGGUCUUCGCAUGGGGGUUGGUGGAAAGGGUUUUUCUGGUGGGGGAUGGGCUCGCGGCCUAUCAGCUUGUUGGUGGGGUGAUGGCCUACCAAGGCUUUGACGGGUAGCCGGCCUGAGAGGGUGACCGGGAACAUUGGGACGGAGAUACGGCCCAGACUACUACGGGAGGCAGCAGUGGGGAAUAUUGCAGAAAGGGUGAAAGCCUGAUGCAGCGACGCCGCGUGAGGGAUGGAGGCCUUAGGGUUGUGAACCUCUUUCGCUAAUGGUCAAGCCGCAACAAUGGUUGUGGUGAGGGUAGUGGGUAAAGAAGCGCCGGCUAACUACGUG
rnacentral:rRNA from 1 species